rnacentral:rRNA from 1 species
UACGGAGGGUGCGAGCGUUGUCCGGAAUCACUGGGCGUAAAGGGCGCGUAGGCGGCCUGAUAAGUAGAGGGUGAAAUCCUGCGGCUUAACCGCAGGGCUGCCUUCUAAACUGUCAGGCUAGAGCACAGUAGAGGCAGGUGGAAUUCCCGGUGUAGCGGUGGAAUGCGUAGAGAUCGGGAAGAACAUCAGUGGCGAAGGCGGCCUGCUGGGCUGUUGCUGACGCUGAGGCGCGAAAGCCAGGGGAGCAAACGGG